CAAAGCUAGCUAAGUGAGGUGCUGGGCUUUGAGAAGAAGAUGUGAGGCUCUGGCCUAGAGGCCUCCCGACUCCUUCCUAAAGUUGAGAAAGUGUUAACUAGAUUUUGUGAAGGAGGAGGGAGGAUUCUGGGACUCUGUCAGAGCCCUCAUGCUUCCUUCACAAAGCCCAGUGCCUCAUUUACCUGGCUUUG